rnacentral:rRNA from 1 species
AACGAUGAUUAAUACCGUAUACGCCCCAAGGGGGAAAGAUUUAUCGCUAAAGGAUCGGCCCGCGUUAGAUUAGGUAGUUGGUAGGGUAACGGCCUACCAAGCCGACGAUCUAUAGCUGGUUUGAGAGGAUGAUCAGCAACACUGGGACUGAGACACGGCCCAGACUUCUACGGAAGGCAGCAGUAGGGAAUCUUGGACAAUGGGCGAAAGCCUGAUCCAGCCAUGCCGCGUGAGUGAUGAAGGCCCUAGGGUUGUAAAGCUCUUUCGCCAGGGAAGAUAAUGACGGUACCUGGUAAAG